rnacentral:tRNA from 1 species
GCCGGCAUGGCGGAAUGGUAGACGCAACGGACUUAAAAUCCGUUGGGGAGCGAUCCCCGUGCGGGUUCGAGUCCCGCUGCCGGUA